CGAGAAGCUCGGCACCUCGCGCGAAGCCGUCGAGGCUGUGCUUGCGGUUCUGCAGAAGUUCGAUCCGCCGGGUGUGUGCGCGCGCAGCCUGAGCGAAUGUCUUGCGAUCCAGUUGCGUGAGCGUGAUCGUUACGAUCCCGCGAUGCAGGCACUGGUUGAAAAUCUCGAUCUGCUGGCGAAGCGCGACAUCGCGUCGUUGCGGAAGAUCUGCGGCGUCGAUGACNCAUCGCCGACAUGAUCGGCGAAAUCCGCCAUCUCGAUCCCAAGCCCGGCCUGAAGUUCGGA
rnacentral:misc_RNA from 1 species